rnacentral:rRNA from 1 species
CCAUCAGCUAGUUGGUGAGGUAACGGCUCACCAAGGCGAAGACGGGUAGGGGGUGUGAGAGCACGACCCCCCACAAUGGGACUGCGACACGGNCCAUACUCCUACGGGAGGCAGCAGCAGGGAAUAUUGCGCAAUGGACGGAAGUCAGACGCAGCGACGCCGCGUGGGUGAGGAAGGCCUUCGGGUUGUAAAGCCCUUUUCUGGAGGGCGAGGCAGGACGGUACUCCAGGAAUAAGCGUCGGCUAACUACGUGCCAGCAGCCGCGGUAAGACGUAGGACGCAAGCGUUAUCCGGAUUUACUGGGCGUAAAGCGCCUGUAGGCGGCGGGAUAAGUCGGAUGUGAAAGCCCCGUGCUCAACGCGGGGAAGCCAUUCGAUACUGUCUGGCUAGAGAGCGGGAGAGGGAAACGGAAUUUCUGGUGUAGCGGUAAAAUGCGCAGAGAUCAGAAGGAACACCGAUGGCGAAGGCAGUUUCCUAGGCCGUAUCUGACGCUGAGAGGCGAAAGCUAGGGGAGCGAACAGGAUUAGAGACCCUGGUAGUCCUAGCUGUAAACGCUGGAUGCUAGGUGUGGGCCAGAGCGGUCCGUGCCGGAGUUAACGCGAUAAGCAUCCCGCCUGGGGAGUACGGCCGCAAGGCUAAAACUCAAACGAAUUGACGGGGACCCGCACAAGCAGCGGAGCGUGUGGUUUAAUUCGAUGCUACACGCAGAACCUUACCUGGGCUUGACAUGUAGGUGGUAGUGAAGUGAAAGCGGAGCGACCCUUCGGGGAGCCUACACAGGUGCUGCACGGCUGUCGUCAGCUCGUGCCGUGAGGUGUCGGGUUAAGUCCCGUAACGAGCGCAACCCUUGUCCUUAGUUACAAGUGUCUAAGGAGACUGCCGGUGACAAACCGGAGGAAGGUGGGGAUGACGUCAAGUCAGCAUGGCCCUUAUGUCCAGGGCGACACACACGCUACAAUGGUCGGUACAAAGGGCAGCGCAGCCGCGAGGUGAAGCGAAUCCCACCAAAGCC